rnacentral:lncRNA from 1 species
AUCAAAUUAUAACUCUGACUUUUGAAUUAUAAAAUCUCAUUUUGUUCAUUCUGCUGCAUCAGAAUCUUUAAAUUUAUUUCUUUACUGAGCACUCUUUAAAAAUUAUUAGUGUUGCCUACUGUUCCUAACUCAAGUGAUAAAGGAUUUGAUGUUUGGUACUCGAGGUUUUAAAUUUGAAUUCUAAUUAAUUCACAUUUCUGGCUAAAUUUUAAAAAAAAAAAAAAUAAAUGAAGCGAAUAAUAUGCUACCUAAAUAACACGAAACAAGCCUGCCUCACUGUGCU